rnacentral:rRNA from 1 species
UACGUAGGGAGCAAGCGUUGUCCGGAAUUACUGGGCGUAAAGAGCUCGUAGGCGGUUUGUCGCGUCUGCUGUGAAAACUGGAGGCUCAACCUCCAGCCUGCAGUGGGUACGGGCAAACUAGAGUGCGGUAGGGGGAGAUUGGAAUUCCUGGUGUAGCGGUGGAAUGCGCAGAUAUCAGGAGGAACACCGAUGGCGAAGGCAGUGUCCUGGGGAGUACCUGACGCUCAGGUGCGAAAGCCAGGGGAGCGAACGGG